rnacentral:rRNA from 1 species
AGAGCGAACGCUGGCGGCAGGCCUAAUACAUGCAAGUCGAACGCACCUUCGGGUGAGUGGCGGACGGGUGAGUAACACGUGGGAACGUGCCUUUGGUUCGGAAUAAUCCGGGGAAACCUGGCCUAAUACCGAAUGUGCCCCCUCUUUAACCAGGGGGUGGAAAGAUUUAUUGCCAUUAGAGUGGCCCGCGUCUGAUUAGCUAGUUGGUGAGGUAAUGGCCCACCAAGGCUACGAUCAGUAGCUGGUCUGAGAGGAUGAUCAGCCACACUGGGACUGAGACACGGCCCAGACUCCUACGGGAGGCAGCAGUAGGGAAUCUUGGACAAUGGGGGAAACCCUGAUCCAGCCAUGCCGCGUGAGUGAUGAAGGCCUUCGGGUUGUAAAACUCUUUCGACGGGGACGAUAAUGACGGUACCCGUAGAAGAAGCUCCGGCUAACUUCGUGCCAGCAGCCGC